UCGUAUGGAAUCGAAUUGACAAUAUUGUAUCUUAUAAUUUGAAAUUUCAUAUUUGAGCUUAUAUGAUUAAAUUGAGAUGAUGAUAUAGAAUGCAAAAUUUAUUAUUUGAGCUUGCCUGAUUAGAUUGUAUUGUGCCUCAAUAAUCCUUGGUUGGAAAAUGUUAUUUGAACCUAUACGGUUCUAAAUUCGAUAAAAUGGAAGUAUGAUUGUAUUGUCCCUAAAUAAUAUUGGAUGUGAAAUUUGAUGGUUAGAUUUACAAAUUUAUUUAAUAGUAUCAUGUCUUGAAAUGAUGGCUGGUUUGUAAUUGAAUAUACGAGAUCAUGUCUUAAAAGAUACUUGAAUCGAAUUGACGGCAUCGUGUCUUAAAAUGGUACUCGUAUCGUUUCCAAUUGACGGUAUCAUGUUGGCUCGGAUGAAAUUGAAUUGACGGUAUUGGUGGAUGAUAUGUAAUUGAAUGGAAGGUAUCAUGUUGGCUCGUAUGAAAUUGAAUUGACGGUAUCAUGUUGGCUCAGGAGAAAUUGAAUUGAUGGUAUUGUUUCUUGAAAUGGUGGCUGAGAUGUAAUUGAUUAUCGUGUUGGCUCGUAUGAAAUUGAAUUGACGUUAUUGUUUCUUGAAAUGGUGGCUGAGAUGUAAUUGAAUGGAAGGUAUCGUGUCGGCUCCUAUGAAAUUGAAUUGACGGUAUCAAGUCUUAAAACGAUGAAUAUUUAUUCAUAAGUUGAAAUGCAUGUAAUAAUGACCCUUACUGGAAUGACAAUUAGUCAUUCAAAGUUUUAAUAAAGAAAAAUUAAGAUGAUGAUAUUGAAUGCAAAAUAUAAUAUUUUGAGCUUCCAUGGUUGGAUUGUAUUGUGGCC
rnacentral:lncRNA from 1 species